UAGGGAAUCCUCGGCAAUGGGGGGAACCCUGACCGAGCAACGCCGCGUGAGUGAAGAAGGUUUUCGGAUCGUAAAGCCCUGUUGUUAAGGAAGAACGAGUGUGAGAAUGGAAAGUUCAUACUGUGACGGUACUUAACCAGAAAGGGACGGCUAACUACGUGCCAGCAGCCGCGGUAAUACGUAGGUCCCGAGCGUUGUCCGGAUUUAUUGGGCGUAAAGCGAGCGCAGGCGGUUAGAUAAGUCUGAAGUUAAAGGCAGUGGCUCAACCAUUGUAGGCUUUGGAAACUGUUUAACUUGAGUGCAGAAGGGGAGAGUGGAAUUCCAUGUGUAGCGGUGAAAUGCGUAGAUAUAUGGAGGAACACCGGUGGCGAAAGCGGCUCUCUGGUCUGUAACUGACGCUGAGGCUCGAAAGCGUGGGGAGCGAACAGG
rnacentral:rRNA from 1 species